rnacentral:misc_RNA from 1 species
UCUCCGUAGGUGAACCUGCGGAGGGAUCAUUACUGAGUGAGGGCUCACGCCCGACCUCCAACCCUUUGUGAACCAAACUUGUUGCUUCGGGGGCGACCCUGCCGCUUCGGCGGUGCGGCGCCCCCGAAGGUCUCCAAACACUGCAUCUCUGCGUCGGAGUUUAAACAAAUUAAACAAAACUUUCAACAACGGAUCUCUUGGUUCUGGCAUCGAUGAAGAACGCAGC